AACGAACGCUGGCGGCAUGCCUAACACAUGCAAGUCGAACGAGACCUUCGGGUCUAGUGGCGCACGGGUGCGUAACGCGUGGGAACCUGCCCUUAGGUUCGGAAUAACUCCCCGAAAGGGGUGCUAAUACCGGAUAAUGUCUUCGGACCAAAGAUUUAUCGCCUUUGGAUGGGCCCGCGUUGGAUUAGCUAGUUGGUAGGGUAAAAGCCUACCAAGGCGACGAUCCAUGGCUGGUCUGAGAGGAUGAUCAGCCACACUGGGACUGAGACACGGCCCAGACUCCUACGGGAGGCAGCAGUGGGGAAUAUUGGACAAUGGGCGCAAGCCUGAUCCAGCAAUGCCGCGUGAGUGAUGCAGGCCUUAGGGUUGUAAAGCUCUUUUACCCGGGAUGAUAAUGACAGUACCGGGAGAAUAAGCUCCGGCUAACUCCGUG
rnacentral:rRNA from 1 species